GACGAACGCUGGCGGCGUGCUUAACACAUGCAAGUCGAACGAUGACGACCGAGCUUGCUCGGUCUGAUUAGUGGCGAACGGGUGAGUAACACGUGAGCAACCUGCCCUUCACUCUGGGAUAACCUCGGGAAAUCGGGGCUAAUACCGGAUAUGAGCUCCUGUCGCAUGGCGGGUGUUGGAAAGUUUUUCGGUGAAGGAUGGGCUCGCGGCCUAUCUGUUUGUUGGUGAGGUAGUGGCUCACCAAGGCGAUGACGGGUAGCCGGCCUGAGAGGGCGACCGGCCACACUGGGACUGAGACACGGCCCAGACUCCUACGGGAGGCAGCAGUGGGGAAUAUUGCACAAUGGGCGAAAGCCUGAUGCAGCGACGCCGCGUGAGGGAUGACGGCCUUCGGGUUGUAAACCUCUUUCAGCAGGGAAGAAGCGAAAGUGACGGUACCUGCAGAAGAAGCGCCGGCUAACUACGUG
rnacentral:rRNA from 1 species